GCGGGGAUGGCGGAACUGGUAGACGCACCAGACUUAGGAUCUGGUUCCCAUAGGGAGUGAGGGUUCAAGUCCCUUUCCUCGCACCA
rnacentral:tRNA from 1 species